AUGGCCCAGGGUGGAUAGAAAAUGAGAGGGGGAGAGGGGGCCUGCUUUCUCUCCUCUCCCAUGUUUUCAGGUGUGUCAAGGGCAUCACUGACUCAGGGGGCCCCAGCUCCAAGGAAGCCAGGGAAGGACUCCAAAGCCAGGUCUUAGAAGGCGGCAGCUGCUGUGUGGGUCAGCCUGCUCUCAGCUGGAGUGGGAGGAAGGGUGGGCAGGACCCCGACUCCAACCACCUUCUUAUUUAUGCUUGUGUUUCUGAAGCUUGGGUUCUGGAUAGUCUGGAGGACAUGAGAAGCAAGGAUUAAGCCUUCAGGUAGGAAAUAAGGCUUUUGAGGUUGAACCCCUGGGACCAGGGAUGCUGAGUGAGUUGUCUGUUGGGGGUGGGGGAGGAAGAAGGGAAGCUCAAUUCCUGAGCAGUGUCCCCAUCCUAGCAGCUGUGUUCUCCCAGCUUCCACUGAGCACCUGGAUGAAGAGCCUGUUAUUGACAACUUUGAAGAGGAGAAACUAUAGGAACAUCCGUCUAUGUGACAGAGUACAAAUGCCAGUGCUCUCCUGACUGCCACAUACCGUGACGAUGACAACAAGAAAAUCAAGGCAGCCUCUCUCUAGUUAACUAGAAGAUGAACCAACACCAGCUGGUUAUGAAGAUGAGGACUCUAGCUUUCUCUGAGCUGGACAACCACUCACACAAGAGAGAGAAUGGCCACCACUGAGGACUUUGAAGACACCAGUGGACAGAAGGUCUAUACAAAUGGACCCUGACUUUUAAUCUGCAGCCAGCAGCCCAGGAAACCCACCCACCAUCUGUAGACCCCACCUCCCAGGCCCCACUAUCUACAAAUGAGACAAACAUGUAUGACGUCCAAAUAGUCUCCCAACACAUCUCCAGGAAGUAAAGCAACAGCCUCUGUAAGAGUCAUCUCCAAAGAGCUAGGGUUUGCCAUGCCACUGAGAGCAUCUUUAAUAUUUGUCCCCACCUCCUCCCUCUUAGGGCCAGGAUCAACCAAAUCAGCACCCCCUACGUCACAUGGAAUUUCCUCCUUUAUGAGGAGGACUUCCUGUCUAGCUUCUUUCUCACAACAGCCUCUGAGCAGGAGAAGCCCACGCCUUUUGUUUUGACCUCUACAAGGUAUCCCUACAGUUCUGCCCACCUGUAGAGUCUGGGCCCAAAUGGCAGCGAUGGUAGCUGAUAUCUGCACUCAACAAGCUCUCAAUAAAUCAUCUUCACUUAG